AGCGAACGCUGGCGGUAGGCCUAACACAUGCAAGUCGAACGGCAGCACAGUAAGAGCUUGCUCUUACGGGUGGCGAGUGGCGGACGGGUGAGGAAUACAUCGGAAUCUACUUUUUCGUGGGGGAUAACGUAGGGAAACUUACGCUAAUACCGCAUACGACCUACGGGUGAAAGCAGGGGAUCUUCGGACCUUGCGCGAUUGAAUGAGCCGAUGUCGGAUUAGCUAGUUGGCGGGGUAAAGGCCCACCAAGGCGACGAUCCGUAGCUGGUCUGAGAGGAUGAUCAGCCACACUGGAACUGAGACACGGUCCAGACUCCUACGGGAGGCAGCAGUGGGGAAUAUUGGACAAUGGGCGCAAGCCUGAUCCAGCCAUACCGCGUGGGUGAAGAAGGCCUUCGGGUUGUAAAGCCCUUUUGUUGGGAAAGAAAAGCAGCAGGUUAAUACCCCGCUGUUCUGACGGUACCCAAAGAAUAAGCACCGGCGAACUCCGU
rnacentral:rRNA from 1 species